GACGAACGCUGGCGGCGUGCUUAACACAUGCAAGUCGAACGGAAAGGCCCUGCUUUUGUGCGGUGCUCGGGUGGCGAACGGGUGAGGAACACGAGAGUAACCUGCCCUUGACUUUGGGAGAACUUCAGGAAACUGGGGCUACUACAGGAUAGCAGCUGCUCCUGCAGUGGAGGGGGGGGAUAUGCUGAGCGGUUGGGGAUGGACGGGGGGGUUACUAGCUUGUUGGUUGGGGAGGGGAGUGCCAAGGCAGUGAAGGGUGGCCGGCGUGUGAGGGAGGCCGGCAUCAUUGGGACUGCGAUACGCCCCAGACUCCUACGGGAGGCAGCAGUGGAGAAUAUUGCACAAUGGUCGGAAGCCUGAUGCAGAACCGCCGCGUGCGGGAUGACGGCCUUCUGGUUGUAAACCGCUUUCGCCUGUGACGAAGCGUGAGUGACGGUAAUGGGUAAAGAAGCACCGGCUAACUACGUG
rnacentral:rRNA from 1 species